CAGUCGCCGCGGUAAUACGGAGGGUGCAAGCGUUAAUCGGAAUUACUGGGCGUAAAGCGUGCGUAGGCGGCUUCUUAAGUCGGAUGUGAAAUCCCUGAGCUUAACUUAGGAAUUGCAUUCGAUACUGGGAAGCUAGAGUAUGGGAGAGGAUGGUAGAAUUCCAGGUGUAGCGGUGAAAUGCGUAGAGAUCUGGAGGAAUACCGAUGGCGAAGGCAGCCAUCUGGCCUAAUACUGACGCUCAGGUACGAAAGCAUGGGGAGCAAACAGGAUUAGAUACCCCUGUAGUCCCUGUCUCUUAUAC
rnacentral:rRNA from 1 species